AUCUUUCCAACUUAUUAUAUCACUAAAAACCCUAAAACUCAACCAAUAGAAGAUAUUCACAAGGAAAAGACGAUGUGGUUACCUCCAGAAGAUGAUAACUGAGAUAAGAGUUGAUUCCCACACUCAACUUGCUCCAAUCUCCUUCUCCUCCAAGCCUUCUCCCUCCAAAGAUCCUCUUUUCAACCUUCAAACACACAAUGGGCACAUACGCAUGCGUAUUAGGGUUUUAAGGGGCCCUCAAAGACUGCAAAGAGGCCAAAGGAGGCUGAGGCUCCAUUAAAUAGAGGUACAAACCCCUCCUUCUCCUCCAAGCCUUCUCCCUCCAAAGAUCCUCUUUUCAACCUUCAAACACACAAUGGGCACAUACGCAUGCGUAUUAGGGUUUUAA
rnacentral:lncRNA from 1 species